CAAUUUACAACAAUACAUUAUGAGCCACUUGAGGCCUACAGUGAAAAACAGAAUAUCACAAGAUAAAAAAUAGAAACAAGCCAUCUGUAAAAAUAAUUUAUGAUGUGUGGAUUUAUCUCACGAAAUGGAAACUUUCUUUUGAUUUAAGAGGCUGGAAACACUCUUAUUCUAGAAUCUAUGAAGGGACAUUUCUGAGCCCAUUGGGGCCUAUAGUGAAAAAACAAAUAUCCUGCCAUAAAAAUUUGAAACAAGAAAUCUGUGAAAAUGCUUUGUGAUAUAUAGAUUUAUCUCACUGAAUAGAACCUGCAUUUUGACUUACCAGUUUGGGAACACUCUAUUUGUAGAAUCUACGAAGGCAUUGUUCAAAAUUAGGCCUGAGUUCCAUGAGGCCUAUAGUGAAAAACCGAAUGUCCCAAGGCAAAAACUGUAAACAGGCUACCUGUGAAGAUCUUCAGUUUAGUCGGUGAUUCAUCUCAUUGACUAAACCAUGUGUUUUUAUUCACCAGGUUGGGAACACUGUGUUUGUAGAAUCUACAAAGGAAAAUUUCUGAGCCUCUUGAGGCCUAUAGUGAGAAAUGAUAUAUCAUGCGAUAAGAACUAAAAACAAGCUAUCUGUGAAGAUGCUUUGUGACAAGUGGAUUCAUCUCACAGAGUUAAACCUUUCUUUUGAUUCAACAGGUUAAAAAACCUUUCUUUUUCUUUUGUAGAAUCUAUGCAGGGACAUUUUUGUGCUCAUUGAGGCCUACUGUGAAAAACCAAACAUCAGGGGUGGAGCCAAAAAAGCCAAAUAGGAACAGCUCCAGUCUACAGCUCCCAGCAUGAGCCACACAGAAGAUGGAUGAUUUCUGCAUUUCCAACUGAGGUACCAGGUUCAUCUCACUGGGGAGUGUUGGAAAGUGGGUUCAGGACAGUGGGUGCAGGACACCGAGCAUGAGCCAAAAGAGGGUGAGGCAUCACCUCACCUGGGAAGCACAAGGGGUCAGGGAAUUCACUUUCCUAGUCAAAGAAAGUGGUGACAGAUGGCACCUGGAAAAUCAGGUCACUCCCACCAUAAUACUGCACUUUUCCAAUGGUCUUAGCAAAUGGCACACCAGGAGAUUAUAUCCCUUGCAUGGCUUGGAGGGUUCUACACCCAUGGAGCCUUGCUUAUUGCUAGCACAGCAGUAUAAGAUCAAACUGCAAGGUGGCAGAGAGGCUUGGGGAGGGGCACCCACCAUUGCCGAGGCUUGAAUAGGUAAACAAAGUGGCUAGGAAGCUCGAACUUGGUGGAGCCCACCACAGCUCAAGGAGGCCUGCCUGCCUCUGUAGACUCCACCUCCGGGGGCAGGACAUAGCCAAACAAAAGGCAACAGAAACCUUUGCAGAUUUAAUUGUCCCUGUCUGACAGCUUUGAAGAGAGUAGUGGUUCUCCCAGCACGCAGCUGGAGAUCUGAGAAUGGAGAGAUUGCCUCCUCAAGUGGGUCCCUGAACCCCAAGUAGCAUAACUGGGAAGCACCCCCCAGUAGGGGCAGACUGACACCUCACAAGGCCGGGUACUCCUCUGAGACAAAACUUCCAGAGGAACAAUCAGGCAUCAACAUUUGCUGUUCACCA
rnacentral:lncRNA from 1 species